ensembl:rRNA 5S_rRNA 5S ribosomal RNA
GCUUACGGUCAUACCACCCUGAGCACGCCCGAUCUCGUCUGAUGUCGGAAGCUAAGCAGGGUCGGCCCUGGUUAGUACUUGGAUGGGAGACCGCCUGGGAAUACCAGGUGCUUUAAGCU